CCUACGGGUGGCAGCAGUGAGGAAUAUUGGUCAAUGGACGAGAGUCUGAACCAGCCAAGUAGCGUGAAGGAUGACUGCCCUAUGGGUUGUAAACUUCUUUUAUAUGGGAAUAAAAUGUUCCACGUGUGGGAUUUUGUAUGUACCAUAUGAAUAAGGAUCGGCUAACUCCGUGCCAGCGGCCGCGGUAAUACGGAGGAUCCGAGCGUUAUCCGGAUUUAUUGGGUUUAAGGGGAGCGGAGGUGGAUUGUUAAGUCAGUUGUGAAAGUUUGCGGAGAAAGCGUAAAAUUGCAGUUGAAACUGGCAGGCUUGAGUACAGUAGAGGUGGGCGGAAUGCGUGGUGUAGCGGUGAAAUGCUUAGAUAUCACGCAGAACUCCGAUUGCGAAGGCAGUUCACUGGACUGCAACUGACACUGAGGCUCGAAAGUGUGGGUAUCAAACAGGAUUAGAUACCCGUGUAGUC
rnacentral:rRNA from 1 species